ACGGCGUUAGCGGCAGUGAGGCGGCGCGCGCGGAACCUCGAGCAGAUCAGGACUCAACCAUCUCACUGAAACAGAGGGGCAGAGACGAACUGAGAGAAGCAGGGAAAGAGAGAGAGAGAGGGGAAACCAUGGGCUUGCCUAUUGAAGCUCAUCCAUUUACUACUCACCUGCUGCAGCUUUCUGACGAGAACUGUACACUCCAGCAGCACUGCUGUGUCUUAUCCACUCAUACCAGCACAACACACACUAACACACCACCACCAUGUCAGUGUCACUGCAGUGCUGAGAAUGACCCACCAACCAAAUAAUACCUGCUCUGUAGUGGUCCCUGGAGAAUCCUGACCAUUGAAGAACAGCAUGAAAGGGGGCUAACAAAGCAUGUAGAGAAACAGAUGGACUACACUCACCUGAUAGUGGCAAUUACUAUGGCACACUCUUGCAUCACAGCGGACGCCGCUCAGUUCUCCCUGCAGUCAAUCACUUGGCAAGCUUAUUUAGAGGUAGCUGUCACUGUGCAUCAGACAGAAGGGACAGUGAGUGAGAGAGAAGAAGGAAGUCCGCUGAGUAAAGUAUUCUUUCUUUCGUGCAAUUACACCCACAAAAUAAAACUCUUAAAAUAAAGAAGGAA